rnacentral:rRNA from 1 species
UACGAAGGGGGGCUAGCGUUGCUCGGAAUCACUGGGCGUAAAGGGUGCGUAGGCGGGUCUUUAAGUCAGGGGUGAAAUCCUGGAGCUCAACUCCAGAACUGCCUUUGAUACUGGAGAUCUUGAGUUCCGGGAGAGGUGAGUGGAACUGCGAGUGUAGAGGUGAAAUUCGUAGAUAUUCGCAAGAACACCAGUGGCGAAGGCGGCUCACUGGCCCGGUACUGACGCUGAGGUGCGAAAGCGUGGGGAGCAAACAGG